CCUACGGGAGGCAGCAGUGAGGAAUAUUGGUCAAUGGGCGGAAGCCUGAACCAGCCAUGCCGCGUGCAGGAAGACGGCUCUAUGAGUUGUAAACUGCUUUUGUACGAGGGUAAAUCCCGAUACGUGUAUCGGGAUGAAAGUAUCGUACGAAUAAGGAUCGGGUACUCCGUGCCAGCAGCCGCGGUAAGACGGAGGAUUCUAGCGUUAUCCGGAUUUAUUGGGUUUAAAGGGUGCGUAGGCGGUUCGAUAAGUUAGAGGUGAAAUCCCGGGGCUCAACUCCGGCACUGCCUCUGAUACUGUCGGGCUAGAGUUUAGUUGCGGUAGGCGGAAUGUAUGGUGUAGCGGUGAAAUGCAUAGAGAUCAUACAGAACACCGAUUGCGAAGGCAGCUUACCAAACAACGACUGACGUUGAGGCACGAAAGCGUGGGGAGCAAACAGGAUUAGAUACCCGUGUAGUC
rnacentral:rRNA from 1 species